rnacentral:rRNA from 1 species
ACAUGCCUACAGCAUAGCGUGAAUGCAUCAGAUCCCAUUAGAACUCCAAAGUUAAGCGCGCUCAGGCUAGAGUAAUACUGCGAUGGGUGAUUGCCCAGGAAGUCCUAGUGUUUUACAUGCC